rnacentral:rRNA from 1 species
CAUAGGUUAAUGAGGCGAACCGGGGGAACUGAAACAUCUAAGUACCCCGAGGAAAAGAAAUCAACCGAGAUUCCCCCAGUAGCGGCGAGCGAACGGGGAGGAGCCCAGAGCCUGAAUCAGUGUGUGUGUUAGUGGAAGCGUCUGGAAAGGCGCGCGAUACAGGGUGACAGCCCCGUACACAAAAAUGCACAUAUUGUGAGCUCGAUGAGUAGGGCGGGACACGUGGUAUCCUGUCUGAAUAUGGGGGGACCAUCCUCCAAGGCUAAAUACUCCUGACUGACCGAUAGUGAACCAGUACCGUGAGGGAAAGGCGAAAAGAACCCCGGCGAGGGGAGUGAAAAAGAACCUGAAACCGUGUACGUACAAGCAGUGGGAGCCUCUUUUAUGGGGUGACUGCGUACCUUUUGUAUAAUGGGUCAGCGACUUAUAUUCUGUAGCAAGGUUAACCGAAUAGGGGAGCCGAAGGGAAACCGAGUCUUAACUGGGCGUUAAGUUGCAGGGUAUAGACCCGAAACCCGGUGAUCUAGCCAUGGGCAGGUUGAAGGUUGGGUAACACUAACUGGAGGACCGAACCGACUAAUGUUGAAAAAUUAGCGGAUGACUUGUGGCUGGGGGUGAAAGGCCAAUCAAACCGGGAGAUAGCUGGUUCUC